rnacentral:rRNA from 1 species
AUGGCAUUGAACUCAGGUCAUCAUGCUUAUACGAGCAACACUACAAACAGCAUGGAAAGUAUUCAAGAACUGAUAAGUAAGAUUUCCCAUCGAUUAGAUGAUUUAGCUCGGCAGCGAGAAGUAGUUUUUGAGGAUAGGGCUAGCUCUUAUGAUCCUUAUUCUAGAGGUCAUCCUUAUGUUGCUCCUACAUGCCAUAUUUGUGGAUUUCAGGGCCAUUCACCCGCUGAAUGUCAGCGUGGUUACUCUCACCCUCCCGAUUGUUAUGGCAUGAGCUUCGCCCCACAGCCUAGCUCAUACCAAAACAAUUACUCAUAUGGGUGGCCUGAAAACCAGAAUAUGUCAUAUAGGAACAACAGCCCUGAGAUCUCAUCGUUUGCCUCUAGUUAUCCAUUGCAGGGAAUUAGGUACAAUGAGGAGAGCAACAAUUAUGCACCAGAACAAUUUUAUUCACUUCCUACUCAUAUACCUCAACACCAGGAGAUGUUGCCAAUGGAGUUAAAUGGUCCUCCAUUUGGUCAACCAACACCUUCAACACAAGUGCCCACACAAGAUGAUUUUGAUGAUAUAGACAAGCUCACAUUGCUUAGUCUCGAGUUCACUUUGAGUGCUGAAGAUGAUCCAAUUAGGCCGGUGAUACUAGAUGAAAUGAAGAAGAUCAAGAGUGGGAAUGAGCUAGUGGAAGAAGUAAGGAAGAUUGAGAAGAACAUCGACGCUGGCAGUACUAUCUCAUCCCUCCUUGAGCUGAGUGCUGCUGAGAUCUCUAGUCAAACAUAUGAGGUUCCAACACUGUCACAUCUAGCUGCGCAAGAUAGAACAAGACGAACAAGAGGAUCCAGACCUCGAAAGCCCAAGCAAUCAAUUGAAGACUCAUCAUCUAUUACUCUUGAAGAAGCAAAAGAAGUUGAUGUGAUUGAAGAUGAAGAACCAGAAAUACAUUUUCCCAUCGUCAUACAGGAGCGUGAUGUAGCAUGUUUAUCUAAUCCUCUUGAUGGCAUGCGUCCGUAUAAUUUCUUUGCUACUUCCUUGCAUUACAUGAUAUCAUCACUUAAGAUUGAUUUGAAAACUCAUUUGCUUGGAUAUGAUGAUACAUACACGGUUGGUGGUAUUGCUCUCAUUUAUGAUGAUGACACUUAUUCUCCUCAUGCUAGUCCUUUGCUUAAUGAAACAUAUCAUUCCCAUGCUAGUUUUGAGCUUAAUGAUAAAUAUCAUCCUCAUGUUUUUUGCUUCUGCAUCGUUCCCUUCAUGCUGACCAGGUUCAAGGUGACAUUCCUUGGGACCCUGGUGGACUCAGAGCAUGGGGAUGAGGAGAAGCAAGGGGGCACACACGAAGAAGAAGCAAUCACUUACCACUAUGGAUUAGCAUGCUAUGUUCCCUGGAUCGGUAGUGUAUACCAUGUUCUCAUGAUCGGUGGGUCAUUUACUAGUCUUUGGUCUAUUUUGCAGAAAUGUGUGCAAAGGCACUAUAAUCUUCAAGAUUCGGACGAAUUGGAUAUUGAGAAGAGAGAAGGGCAGGGAAGAAGUGAACAAAGGGACCUGAGCAUGAAGGAAAGAAGAAACCAGGGGCCAAAACUAAAGAUGGAGGGGAUCGACUUGGGAAGAAAGAAGGAAAGGAGAAGGGCCAAAUCAGAAAAGUGGCAGACUAGAGGAGGGGUCAAAAUCCCUAGUAGCAGCCUCGAUCCCCUUUGGGCCUGGCAUCUCAUCUCUCUCCCUCUCACCACUCUUCUCCACAUCCGGUCGCCGCCGCGGCGAGGCCGGCGUGGCGGCGCGCCACCAGCACCUUCCACCACCAGCCGCACCUCACACCGCCACCAGCACCACCUGCAUUGCCCAGCGCCACCGCUCCACCGCCGCACCUCGUGCGCCCGAUCAGACGGGCGUCUGGUCCUCCCUGCGACUCCACUCCUUCUCCAUCUCUCUCUGCUACCUUUCUUCCCUUACCUCCGCUGCUCCCUGCUGUUUCGCCUCGCCUACCUCAACCUUCUGCUGCUCCUCCCAUCUUCAACCUGCAAUUCUUCUACGCCCUUCGCCCCUUGCUAUUGUUCCUCUCCUCUUCACCUGCUGCGAUCUCUCUCUCUCCCACAUCUUUCCUGCUGCCCCUGCUGA